GAGUUUGAUCAUGGCUCAGGACGAACGCUGGCGGCGUGCCUAAUACAUGCAAGUCGAACGAACGGAGAAAGAAGCUUGCUUUUUUCAAAGUUAGUGGCGAACGGGUGAGUAACACGUGGGUAACCUGCCCAUCAGAGGGGGAUAACAUUCGGAAACGGAUGCUAAAACCGCAUAGGUUCCUUAGUUGCAUGACUGAGGAAGGAAAAGAGGCGUAAGCUUCUGCUGGUGGAUGGACCCGCGGUGCAUUAGCUAGUUGGUGAGGUAACGGCUCACCAAGGCGAUGAUGCAUAGCCGACCUGAGAGGGUGAUCGGCCACAUUGGGACUGAGACACGGCCCAAACUCCUACGGGAGGCAGCAGUAGGGAAUCUCCCGCAAUGGACGCAAGUCUGACGGAGCAACGCCGCGUGAGUGAAGAAGGUUUUCGGAUCGUAAAACUCUGUUGUUAGAGAAGAAUAAGCAUAAUAGUAACUGAUUAUGCCGUGACG
rnacentral:rRNA from 1 species